GUGGCGAACGGGUGAGUAACACGUAGGGAACCUGCCCCUAAGACGAGGAUAACUACUGGAAACGGUAGCUAAUACUGGAUAGGAUAAGUUGACGCAUGUUGGCUUAUUUAAAGGUGCCUAUAAAGCACCGCUUAGGGAUGGCCCUGCGGCGCAUUAGCUAGUUGGUGGGGUAACGGCCUACCAAGGCGACGAUGCGUAGCUGUGCUGAGAGGCAGAACAGCCACACUGGGACUGAGACACGGCCCAGACUCCUACGGGAGGCAGCAGUAGGGAAUUUUCGGCAAUGGGAGGAACCCUGACCGAGCGAUGCCGCGUGAGUGAUGAAGGUCUUCGGACUGUAAAACUCUGUUAUUAGGGAAGAAUACUAUAGGGAGGAAAUGCCUUAUAGAUGACGGUACCUAAUGAGGAAGCCCCGGCCAACUAUGUGCCAGCAGCCGCGGUAAUACAUAGGGGGCGAGCGUUAUCCGGAAUUACUGGGCGUAAAGGGUGCGUAGGCGGUUUCUUAAGUCUAGUGUGAAAGCCCACG
rnacentral:rRNA from 1 species